rnacentral:rRNA from 1 species
UCUGGUGGUAAUAGCGAAGAGGUCACACCUGUUCCCAUGCCGAACACAGUAGUUAAGCUCUUCAGCGCC